rnacentral:rRNA from 1 species
UACGUAGGGGGCUAGCGUUAUCCGGAUUUACUGGGCGUAAAGGGUGCGUAGGCGGUCUUUCAAGUCAGGAGUGAAAGGCUACGGCUCAACCGUAGUAAGCUCUUGAAACUGUAAGACUUGAGUGCAGGAGAGGAGAGUGGAAUUCCUAGUGUAGCGGUGAAAUGCGUAGAUAUUAGGAGGAACACCAGUUGCGAAGGCGACUCUCUGGACUGUAACUGACACUGAGGCACGAAAGCGUGGGGAGCAAACAGGAUUAGAUACCCCCGUAGUCCCU